rnacentral:rRNA from 1 species
CUAGUAAUCGUGGAUCAGAAUGUCACGGUGAAUACGUUCCCGGGUCUUGUACACACCGCCCGUCACACCAUGGGAGCGGGUUCUGCCAGAAGUAGUUAGCUUAACCGCAAGGAGGGCGAUUACCACGGCAGGGUUCGUGACUGGGGUGAAGUCGUAACAAGGUAGCCGUAUCGGAAGGUGCGGCUGGAUCACCUCCUUUCUG